ensembl:lncRNA
GUCGAGGGGGACAGAAGAAAGGGAGGGAGAAGAAGAGGUCGAGGGGGACAGAAGAAAGUGAGGGAGAGGAACAGGUCGAGGGGGGCAGAAGAAAGGGAGGGAGAGGAACAGGUCGAGGGGUACAGAAGAAAGGGAGGGAGAGGAACAGGUCGAGGGGGACUGAAGAAAGGGAGGGAGAGGAGAGGAUCAGGUCGAGAGGGACAGAAGAAAGGGAGGGAGAGGAACAGGUCGAGAGGGACAGAAGAAAGGGAGGGAGAGGAGAGGAUCAGGUCGAGGGGGACAGAAGAAAGGGAGGAAGAGGAACAGGUCGAGGGGGACAGAAGAAAGGGAGGGAGAGGGACAGGUCGAGGGGGACAGAAGAAAGGGAGGGAGAGGAGAGGAUCAGGUCGAGAGGGACAGAAGAAAGGGAGGGAGAGGAACAGGUUGAGGGGGACAGAAGAAAGGGAGGAAGAGGAACAGGUCAAGGGGGACAGAAGAAAGGGAGGGAGAGGAACAGGUCGAGGGGGACAUUAGAAAGGGGG